AUUGGACUGACGCUAAUUCACAACCGUCUUCAAGUAUCAAUCUUUUAUUGAUGCAGUGUUGAAAAUCGUGUUGUCCUCCAAAUGUUGCCUUGGUACGUAGCUUCCAUAAAUUCCAAAUUUCUGUUACACAUUGUGCAGAUGUCCCCAAAACCUGAUAAGCAUGAUUUGCAGCCAGAGAUCGGAUUUCUUCAUCAUCGUCGUUAAGGAAGUCUCCCAGUAAUAAGUAGAGAAUAUAAAAUUCGAAAGAAAACGCUUCAGCUGUUGAUUCUGCGUUGAACAAAUCAAAAUGUAUUAUGGAA